rnacentral:lncRNA from 1 species
GCAAAGGCAAGAGGUGCACCGCCCAGAGAGUGAGUCUCUGCAGGACCUCACAAGCUCAGGAUAGUCCCGAAACCCCACGCUCGUGAGGAAGAUCUGUCGGGGUUGCCCCAUGGCACCUCUUCCUCCCAUGGCCAGAGGCAGGUGUGAUGACAGCUUCCAGGCUCACUUCUUCCCAGUUUCAUCAGCAGAGUCAAUGGAGUGCCUCUGUACCAACUCCAGACAGGACUCUUAUUGGCUUAAGUUCAUCACGAGUGGAUCUCUCAGGCCAAUCACAGGUGCGGCAUGAUGAUUGGUCCAGCUGGGUCACAUGCUCAUCUUGUAAACAGGUAGGUGGGCUAAAUUGAUUGGCAACUCCAGUUAGAAGGUUAGAACCAAAAGCUAGGGAAGGACUAUUUCCCAAAUUAAAGUGGAUUCUUUUCUGAUGAAGGAAGGUGUGCUGAGCAGACAGGAGGACACGUUCAUAGUGUCUUUCUGGAUGUCAUUGUCUUCUCUAUGGGAAUGAAUUUGAGAAAUUAUAAAACUCUCUGUGAAAGUAAAGAUGAAGAAGCUGGUGCUGAAGCAUGAAGAUAUUAGGAAAAUUUAACAGCAAA